ACAUCCUGGUUCCAGAGUCCAAGUUGCUUCCAACAAGAGUGGGCGUGGGGGUGUGAGGCUGCCUGCCACACGGAGCACCUGUCUUUUAUAGCUGCCUGUCUGAAACCUGUGCCCACAGGUGAACUGUUUUUACUUCCUCAUUUGUCCAAUUGGACGUAUACGUUUUAGACCCCAUUUCCUUCUUUCUCCCACGUCAAACACUAGUAACACUCACCCAUCUCCCUUCACACACAUGGAAAUGCGCCCUUCCUGAUGAUUUUCCCUGACCUAUCGAAGCACUUAGUUGGCUGGUUUGAACGUCUCAGUCUGUGUCAUGUGUAUUUACCGCAUUUCCCCAUCUAGAUGGUAGGGUCCUAGGUUUGGGGGUGGAGACCACACCUUCUACUGCUUUCUUCCCAAUUGCACUCACACUGCAGUCUCUAUUUAGCAGUGCCUGGGGACAGCCAUUGGCUGCCUGGCAGGAAAUCUGUCCCCUCCCGCCCCAGGUCUACCCAGCCUAUAACCCUGUUGUGAUAUUUCUUGGAUCACCCCAGUCAGCCAACCACUUCUUAUCACACUCCUGUCCCCAUGUAUAACUCAGGGAAAGGCCACAUCCCUUUGAAAAGGAUUGUUUGCAAACAGCUGGCAUUAAAACUUCAAUAACAGUUUAGGCUAGAGUUACAGUAACAUUUUUAUCAUUCUUAACCAUUCUCUGGAGAAUCAAUAGCCCCUUAUAGCCAGGAGGCACCUACUAGCCCCUGAACAAGUGAACAAAUGAUUAUUUCCCAAGAUCCCAGGUCUUUGGUUCACAAAAUUACAGUGUUAAAGAGAUCAACAUGUAUUAGGUGAGUUGCUACUUAAGAGGUAGAAUUAGGCACCUUCAGGAGAGCAGAUGGCCAUCGCUCUAUUUCUGAGAAGCCUGUGGGUUUGUGUGUCCACCCCUUUCCCACAGACCACGCAAAAUGGCCCAAGCUGAGCCUUGAGAGCUGCCGGGCCCCUGCCUUGGUCCCCACCCCAUCUGCUUGCUUCCCUGGGGCUCCCCAUCAGUGGAGCUGAAUGGGCACAGUGCCAGGCCAGAUGGCAAAGAUGGGAAAAACUGCCAAAAAGGAGGCAAACAGGAAAUGGAAGGAGGGCUCUAGACGUGGGGGAGGGGCGGAAGGGCCCUCUCCUUUCUCCCGCCUCCAGCGAGAGGUCAGGUUUGGGGGGCAGGGGUUGGGGGGAAUGUAAAGCAAAGAUAUAGUGGCUGCCCCAGAAAAGCGGGGACACUGGGAUUUCAUUUCACCAGGGAGAAGGGGGGACUUGGGGGCCCACACAGGCUCAGUAACCUCAGCCUGCCUGCGGCUGCAGUCACAUGAGCACAUCACUACACACACGUGCGCAUGCAAGGCCGCGUGGAGGUGCCAGUAAACUGAGGGGUGUGCACCAAGAUUCCCUAGAACAUAUAAAUCCAUGUGUAAUGCAGCCUGUAACACACAUGCAUGUUCACAGAGGCACGGGCAGCUGGUGGGGGAGGAAACACACACAGCAGGCACAGCCCCCACCUUCACACACAUACACAUCACACACACACACCUGACCCCAGACAUAAGAGUGAGCAGGCAGCUUCAGGAGCACAGAUGGCUGCAGGUGGGCACAUGCAGAUCCCAGCCACAAGGCACUGAGGGGCAAAGAGAGACCCUGGGAACUGCCCCCUCCAACCCCAGCCUCCACGCCCCCCCCCACACACACACUUUCCUCCCACCCCCGAGUCCCUGUUCUGCAGCUCCCCAUGUGUGUAUGGGGGGUCCAGGCUCUUUUUGUCCUCAGUGACCCUCUGGGACCUGUCCUAUUGCCCUCUGAGCCGGGCUGGGCACCAGUCUUUGCUGAGAUAAGUCAGAGGGGCAGGGUUAUUUUUGCACCGGCAGGAAGUGAGAACAGGGGGUUUAAAAGUGCACAGGAGGCUAACUCAUGACCCUUCCCUCCCUCUCAUCCACACCACUGGCCCGUGGUGUCCACCCUUCUGGUGCCUGACCAGCGAUGCAGAGGGGAGCUGAACAGAAAGGGAUGGGCAAUUUGGGACAGUGAUGGGGGCAGGGAGGGGAGAGACACCUCCUGUCUGUCUAGCUUCUUCCUGUCUGCCACCCUCUCCCUGGGCUCCCCCCUCCCACGCUCUCCCCCCACUACCACCUUCACCAAAGCCCUUGAUCUCCUCAUCUCCUCUUUGUAGGAAUCCACAUCCUUGAAAGGUUUGGAAUCUCAGAUCUCUGGACAUCAUCUCUAGAAGAGUUCCAACCACCUUUCAGAUGCUGGCAGCCACAGGCCAGUUGGCACACGAGUCCCACCCCUCCUGCGGUGUGUGGUGCCGACUGAGCCCACUUCCUCUGCUCUGUCCUCAGGCAGCUCAGGGCCCGAAGAUGUGCCCGCUCCCCACAGACAGUAACUCUCAGCACCCCUUCACAUGGGUCCUUUCAGAUGCUCCCUACAGAUCCCAACGGUGCUGAGCCUCCAGUGGAAGCUUCAUGAAGUCUAAAGGCCUUGUGACAAGCUCCGUCCCACAGCGGCCCCAGGACACAAAUGAAUCCUGCCCAUCUGCUUGUCCUGAGUCUAAGGCAGGGAGUUUAACGAGGUCACCAGGGUGAAUGGAUGGCCUCCUCCUGCCCCAGGGGCCACGUUCUUCCCACUGCCAUGUUUAUCCAUCCUCCCUCGUCCCCAGUCCAGGCCCGCUCUGCUUCCUCCAGCCCAGAUCCCUGCUCCAGCUUCCCCCUACCCUUCCCCACCUGAGACUCUCUUCUUGCCUUUCCAACCCCAUCCCCGGCUGCAACUUUUCCCUCUCAUGUCUCCCCACGGUUUUUCUGGAAAAAGGCAGAAAGCAAAGGCGACCUACAGCUCAAUGAUUGAUGUGUGGGAUCUGGAGUUCCCAUCAUAGCUCAGCCGUUAAUGAACCUGACUAGCAUCCAUGAGGAUGAGGGUUCGAUCCCUGGCCUUGCUCAGUGGGUUAAGGAUCUAGCAUUGCUGUGACCUAUGGUGUGGGUCGCAGAUGCACAUCGGUCCUGAGUUGCUAUGCCUGUGGUGUAGGCCAGCAGCUAUAGCUCUGAUUGGACCCCUAGCCUGGGAACCUCCAUAUGUGUUGGGUGUGGCCCUAAAAGACAGGAAAAAAAAAAAAAGACCUAAGAGGGUUCAGCCCUCCAUAGCCUUGGGUGGUUCUCGCCUCCACAGGAGCCUUUGGCCUCGUGGACCUCGCCCUGACCUCAGGCAGCACUCAAGUCUCUGCUUUCCCCUUCCUGUGGGCACAGGUAUCAGAGGCCGAAAGAGCUGGGUUCUAGGGUCCCUCAGUUGCCAGGAAGUGAGGCUCAUGGGUUGAGUAGGUUUCUGCCUCCCGUUUAAUCCUUGCCUCCAUCUUCCCUUCUGCUACGACCUUCGCUCACCCUGAAGCGACAGGCGACACAACCCCUUCCGUCAGGGAGGCCCCCGUGAACAUAAGGACUCGGUGGGCAGCUGCCUCAUGGUUGGGACACAGAGGGACCAGAAGGCCUUGCCCGCUCUCAAAUAUCUCCCCCAACCCAUGCUCAGUAUCUGAAAUUUUAUCCACUUCGGGACCCUCACAGGCCACAUUCCCGCAGAACUGUAGGGACCCUGGACACAGUUCAUCUAAUCCUCCGAUAAAGACAAUGCCCUGGGUUAAGGCAGCGUCUGUCCAAGACACCACUGAAGCACACUGGUUACAUUGGAAGGAUCCCCGUAAGGGCACAGCUGAGCCUUGACCCUGCUGAUGGGGUUUCAUCAGAUGAGUUCAUUGUCACCGGCAAAGGCCCGGCCCUGGGGCGAGUGGGUUUUAGGGCUUGCGUUGUCUAAGAGUAGGAAAGGGCUGGCAACCAGCCCCAGAGGGCCUUCCUCGGUGGCCCUGGGAUUGGGGUUCAGCUUGACAGUGGGGACCUGACCGGUGAAGGGGAGGACACAGCCUCGGGGACAGCCAGGGUGGGGCUUCAAGAUCUAGGGCAAUCCUCUGUCCCCUGUCUGUGGGCCCAAGCCUGUCCCUUUGGGCUUUUGACUGAAACAUUUUCCCAGGGCCCACAGCCUACUUUCACCUCCACCCCCCCCCACCCAUGUCCUAUUUCUAAAGGAGAGGGGCUGCCCCUGGGGGGCUCCCCCCAACCUGUGAUGCCCCCAUACCUGUGCUCGCUGAGGCUCCGCCGCUGCCUUGAGCUGGCUUCCGCUGCUGCCUGUUCUGGGCUGGGCUGGGCUGGUAGGACCUGCUCCAGGCAGGCGGACACACCCACCUCCGCAGCUGUCAGCAGAUCCCAGCUCCCUGCACUCGCCCAACCCUGCGUGGGGCAGGGAGACAGAGGAGGAAGCACUGCCCUCAGUGGUCCACAGACAGGUCAGAGGAGAAGAAUCCCCAGCGGAUAAAGGCACUUCAUCUGGCCCCAACCAUCGCUGACUGCUGACUGUCCCCUCAUGGCUCACACAUUUCCCACAGUUUCCGGUGAGCCUAACUGGCACACCCACCCAGUGAUGCCAGAUGACUAACCCACCAGCCUUUUGUUCUCAUCAGUUCCUCCUGGCUGUCUGUCUCUCUGUUGGGUUCCUGCAGGUGGUUUCACUCUUGCCACAUGUAGCUUCUAUCUGUGUGUAUGUGUGUGUGUGUGGGGGGGAACCAGGGCUCAGAUGACAGCCUCUGGUCUCUGUACCCCGGGCUGAGCCCCUUGUUUUCUACAUCAGUAGGACCGGGCAUGGUGUUUGCAGUCAGUACUCAAAAACAAGCGGCAGGUGAAAAAGGACACUGUGGUCGAAUGAGAAUGGAGAGACUAAGUGGAAAAGGUUUCUCUGUUACAGAGCUUCUCAGAGGUUUCAACAUCCCAUUAAAAGGCCAAUGGCAUGUUGAUAAUCAAAGCUGAUAAAGGGUAGAUGGAGAUGCUUGACACUGUUCUUUGUGCUAUAUUCUACAUAUUGAGCUUCUCCAUAAUGUUUUCUCUUUUUUGUCUUUUUAAGAUCGUACUCACGGCAUAUGGAGGUUCCCAGGCUAGGAGCUGAAUCGGAGCUACAGCUGCCAGCCUAAGGCACAGCCACAGCAACGUUGGAUCCGAGCCACAUCUGCAACCUACACCACAGCUCAUGGCAAAACUGGAUCCUUAACCCACUGAGCAAGGCCAGGGAUCGAACCCACGUCCUCAUGGAUACUAGUCGGGUUCUUUAACCACUGAGCCACGACAGGAACUCUGUAAUGUUUUCUUCUAAAUGCUGUGCAGUUUCCCUCAUAUGUGUGUAUCCAGAACAUGUUUUGGGGGAUCCCAGAUUAUUAAAGGCUGAUGCUGGAGUCACAGCUCCAAGCAUGUCAUUAAGAUGCAGUUCCUGGAGUUCCCGUCGUGGCGCAGUGGUUAACGAAUCCGACUAGGAACCAUGAGGUUGCGGGUUCGGUCCCUGCCCUUGCUCAGUGGGUUAACGAUCCGGCGUUGCCGUGAGCUGUGGUGUAGGUUGCAGACGCGGCUCGGAUCCCGCUUUGCUGUGGCUCUGGCGUAGGCCGGUGGCUACAGCUCCGAUUCAACCCCUAGCCUGGGAACCUCCAUAUGCCGCGGGAGCGGCCCAAGAAAUAGCAACAACAACAACAAC
rnacentral:lncRNA from 1 species